AGCAAUAAGGCGAGUCUGUUUACCGGUAGCUCUAUUAUGCAAAGCAAUGGGUUGAUUCUCUUAUGCCCCGGUUCGUUUCUUGUUAUUACUUAAUUACUGGUUCAAUAUUACUGGUUCAAUUCUAUAUCCAUAGUGACUUUCUUUAGCUACUGAUCCCCGGAUCCCUACUUGUAAGGUUGACUCUUCUCUUACUACCUCUCUUUGCUUUGAACCUGACACUAUAUAUUUUCAAUUCUGUAGUUCGAAGUAAAAGCCUGCAAAUUGCCUAUUGCGUGCCGUGCCCAAGAGAAGCAAGUCUUAUUAGAUAUAGUAGUCCAUUCUGUCUUCCCUAUAAAUAGAUUUGUUACACUUGACCCUAGAACAUAACUUCUUGGUGUUGAUGGGAAAUCCCCUAUGGAACACCCCUCAUGGAGCCUAGAAGAAAUUGAAAGCCUAUAAAACAGUAGUGAGAGUCUGAUUCCAAAGAGUAACGGAAUGAAGGCAAGGGGAGUUCGAGAAGAAAGAGUGGAGUUAUGGUGAUGAGGUUGUUGUCCUAUUGCAACUUAGCUAGCUACUAUACUAUACUCUAAUAGUCAGAAAUAACCUAGUAAACUAGGCUUCUCAAAGGAUAGGUAGAAUGCAAUAAGGGAGCGGCAGGCCCUAAUUCAUAAACGAGAAUCGAAAUAAGUAGAACAUUAAUCAAUAUUAUAUACGUGUGAACGUGAACCCAAUGUUUCAUUUCAUAAAAAAAGAGUAGAGUCAGAGCCAAAGCUAUGAGUGGAAGAGUCGUCGAAAGGGACAAGUCUCAUAAUUUGGAUGCAUAGAGGU
rnacentral:lncRNA from 1 species